AACAUAGCAUCCCAAGGAGGAGGCAGCACUCCAGCUGAAGCCUCCCGAGCACUGAAAGGACUGGAUUUAUUACCCGCUUCAUCUUGCAUCUGGCAUGCGUGCCAGCACAGCUCAGAAUGAAAAUAGUGGCUCAAACUGGGUCCUGGUAAGACCUCCUAUGCAACACCUCUGGGGGUGCCUCUCAGCUGAGCCAUUGCUGCUCCAUGACACUGAUUUUUUCAGCCACUUGUGCAGUAGCUGCACUAAUGGUUAUGUCUGAGCCAGACUCCCUAAGCUGGUUUGUGAAACUGUCAUUUUGGACAGCAUCAAACACCUUACUUAAGUCCAAGUACAUCACAUCCACUGCUUCCUGUGUCCACUAGGCAAGUUUACCUGCUAGAGAAAGAAUCUUUCCAAGGAUUGAAGCUAGGGCUGAAUUCUCCGGGUCCUCCUUUUCUCAUUCUUUGAGGAUAGGCGCCAUGUUUGACCCCUUGGGACUUCUGCUGUUCUGAGAUGAUCACCAGUGGUUCAGAGUUGUCUUUGGCUCCUUGGACCACUCCAGGGGGAGUUUCAUUGGGCCUUGCUGAUCUGAACACAUCCAUCUAACUGUCCUCUAACCUGCUCUUUCUAUCUUCUAGCCUGCACUAGUAUCUCCUUGUUAAAGUUAAUUUAAUUAAUCAUUAGGUCACUAUUCACCUUUCUGGGGAAGGUUGAAGCAGAGGAGGCCUUAAGCACUGCAGCCUCUUCUGUUCAAAUCCAUCAUUUGUCCUCUCCCCUUGAGUAACAGGCCCAGACUUCCCUUCAUCGUCCCACUGCUGCCUGUGGGAGUCUUUGCUAACUGAAAUGCUCUGAUCCCAGGCUGCCUGCUUGUGUGGCUCUCUCCUACUCACUGGCAGGAUGGUGCCCUGCUUUCCUCAUGGUUCCUUUCCAAUUGCUGGGUCACCGAGGGGCUCCUGGAGGAGUUAUAAUGGUCCCUUUCUCCGCUUCUGAUGUGUCCUUUCCAUGGGGUUGUUUGCUCUCACAUACUUAAUACAGUCUCUCAAGACCUGCCAAAG